UUUAAUACAUAGGACUAAUGACUGGUUUUGGAUGUUCUAGGCCUUGCUUAUCCAAGAGUCAAGAUGGAAAUUACCACACCUACUACAGUUGCCUGAGAAUUACAACACCAUUUUUCAGUACUACCACAGAAAAACCUGUAGUAUCUGCACCAAGGUUCCUAAAGACCCUGCUGUUUGCCUUGUUUGUGGUACUUUUGUAUGCCUGAAAGGACUUUGCUGCAAGCAACAAAGUUACUGUGAAUGUGUAUUGCAUUCUCAGAACUGUGGUGCUGGAACAGGGAUUUUCCUUUUGAUCAAUGCAUCAGUAAUUAUCAUCAUUCGAGGUCACCGCUUCUGCCUCUGGGGUUCCGUAUAUUUGGAUGCUCAUGGAGAAGAAGACCGGGAUCUUAGGCGAGGCAAGCCUCUCUACAUUUGUAAGGAAAGAUACAAAGUUCUUGAGCAACAAUGGAUUUCUCAUACUUUUGAUCAUAUCAAUAAAAGAUGGGGUCCACAUUAUAAUGGGCUAUGACUCACCACCUUGGCAUUACAUUACACUAUCAUUUUCAUUAAGAUUUUAUUUUAUCAAAAGUAAGCUUUAACUUAAUUUGGGGGGAUUAAUGCUCUUGCUGAGGGAAAAAGAGAAAACAUACAUCUAUGAAGCCUUUCCAAAAUUAGGUGCUUGGUAAAUCACGUUAAUGGUAUAAUUUUUUUUAAGUAUCUGGAAACAAAUAAGUUGAAUCAUUCUUUUGUGGUCCUUUUUUUAAGUGCACAAUUAAUAAAAAGCACAACUUGUCCACAAAAUCAUUCAGAAAUUAUCAUCCCUGCAAUGCAUAUCAGCUAUUCAUGGAUACUUAGUGUGGGUGUGAUUAAUUUGAAAUUGUAUUGCUCUGUGUUUUAAUUUGCAUCUGCUUAACAUAAUGCAUCUUUUUUCCUCUGUUACUCUUGUGUUGAUUUAAGAUUUUUUCUGUAUGUAAUUAGAAAAAAAUGUAAAACAUGAUUUAUGUGAAAUAUUGUAUAGUAAAAAUUGGUCUAAUAGUAGAACUUUAAAAUUUUUUCUUAUUGUGAAGAAUCUGCUAAAAGUUUAAGGCUUUGCUGAAAACUUAAUUCAUUCUCAGGAAUUUCAUAAAUAUUCUCCCCACAUAAAUAAUUGAAAUAGAUGUAAAAUAAGUAGAUAGCCGCUGGUAAUAUAAUACAGUACAUUCUGGGAUGCAUAUGUGGGGUGAGGGGGCGGUCCUUAAAAAUCAAAAUUUGUGUGGAGUAUAGCUCAGUGACAGAGCACUUGCCUAACAUUCACAAAGCCCUGGAUUAAAUCCUAAGCACUGCAAAAAAAACAAAUUGCCAUUUCAGUUGGAUGAAUUAGAGUUGGUACCAAAUAGAUUUUACUAAUAAAAUCAAAAGGGUUGAGAACAUACACAUGGCAGAUUUUGAUUCUGUGCAUACCCACCUUUUAUUACCAACCAAGUUUUUGUUUAUACAAUUGGAUUAGAAGUGCUCAUACUUCCCAACAGAUGAACCAUACAUUUUGGAACUUUCUAUCAGCUCAAGAGGUUCAGCUACAUUAUUUGUAUUCAUGUAGUGUAAUCACUGCUAUUCUGCUUGGUUUCCUACAAGGAAAAAAAAGGGUUUAGUGGUGGUGACCCUCAUGAAUGAGCCAUGCAUCUGUACUCUUCUUAGAAACUACUGUGAAAAGAAAUUUAUGUUUGUAGAAUUUUUAAAUAAGAAUGGAAGUAAUUGAGCUAAAACCCACUCAAAUAGAGAAGGAAGAUUACAGAAAAGCUUGUUACAUAUUGGUACCAAGAUUUUUUUCCAUAUGAUUCAGUAAUUCAAUGAUAUAUUAUGCUAUCGAGCAAUUCUUGUACUUUGGAGUUCAUGACUUAUUAUAUAAAAUUACAUUUUAUGUGUAAAAAUAAACUUAAAUGCAUCUAAUGAUGAAAUAUAAAAAAUGACAUCAGAUCCAUGCACCAAAAGUUAUUGAAUGAUAUGACCUUACAGAAUAUGAAAAUGAACAUUAAAUGAUGGCCUUGCAUUAAAAUAGGGAAAGCAGAGCAGUACAUACUCAAAUGUGUUCAAAACAUCAGAAAAUUACCUAUAGCUCUAUCAGAAAAUACAUGGAAAUAGCUUGCUAUUUUUAUAUACAUUUCCAAAAUGUUAAGAUAACUUUCUGUAAGACUAGAAUGAUUCUGUUUGACUAAAUCACUGUCCUUUCCAACAUACCACUACUUUUUAAAAUAUUGUAUCAUAAGUUCAGCCUGUCAUAUUUUUUGCAUUGGUCAUUAUGAAUACCAGAUCAUUUGUAAGUGUGGUUGAAGAGCAAAAUGCUAAUUUACAUCUCUAGUAAAUACUGUUACAGGAUUCACGAACUUGAAUUAUUCUACAGCUUGAAGCUCUGAUGCUAUAUAUACAUGGUAUAAUGUAUUCAGACUUUGAUUACUGCAUAUUUAAAAUGGAAUGUUUUGUGGCUGUGUGUAUGGAUGUGAAGUGACAAUAUUAGCCUUAACUUUAAAAUUGGGGUAUUUGAUAGUGUUUAUUUUGAUAUUGGUGAAUUAGUCACCAGUAAAUUUUAAAAGAGCACUUGGUUGAAAAUUGUACUUGAAUACAUACAUGCAUGCUGCUAAACUAGAACUUUAAUUUUUCCCCAUAAUUUUUAUAAGUCCCAUUUAUAAACCCACUUUUAAAAAUUUAGCAGGUCCAAGUUGGAGUGAUGUGUGUAUAUUAUUCAAAAAAUGUACUAGUGUGAUAUCUUGUAUGAAUGAUCAUUUAAAUACAGUACAUUACUGUAGAAGCUAAAUCAACCUUUAUAAUUAAGCAGAAAGUCAAAAAACUAGGAAUAGUCAACACUGUAAGAUAUGUUAAUAAAAACCUACUGUCAUUUGGUUUGUGAAAGAUCCUUAAAAUGUUUAAUGCUUAUGUUUUUCUCAUUUUUCCUCAAAGAUAUUGGCAGUAAUAUGUGUGAGUGAUCGUGGCCUAAAAGAUCCCUUAAGAUUUGCUUUGCCUUUUGCCUUUUAUUUGCAGAGCUAUUUCUGCACAGACCCCUGCAAAGUAUGUAUGUUUUGAAUAGGGGAAGAAGGAAAUGAGUGUGUAGAUCUGAGGACCAUUAUUGUCCCUGCUUUCUUGAAAGUUCCCAACUAGAUUUUGAAAAUUUAAAGUGCUCUAUGAUAUUAUUUAUUUUGAAUAGUCUCUGGUUUUGUUUGAAUUUACAAUCCUUAUCCCUGUCCCUCCAUUCUGAAGGUCACCAGCUAGUGAUCAGCUAGAAAUCCAUUUCCUUUCUCAGAUUUUUUUCAUUUGCUUUUUUGUAUUCUGUCAUUUAUUGAUUUCUGUGAUCUAGGAAAGAUGUUGACUAAAAGCCCUGAAGGCUUAGAGAUAACAAUAUUAGAGAAGGAGAUGUGGCCCAAGACUCUCUCUACCAUCAUCAGGUAGAUUUGCUGAUUGAGAUUCCUGUUGUUGGCUAGUAUUUAAGGUCGUGUUGGAAAACAACAGAAUAGGAAGAAAAAACACAAACAAACAUGGUUUUAACCACUAGAAUGAAAUUGUCAAGGCAAGGGUGCAUUCACUGUGGGUAAGUCUGGUAGUUAAUGGUUGUGGGAGAGCUGACGACUUGUGAGUACUGUCCCCUCACAGUGCAAAGCACACAGUCCUUGCUCAAAGCCUUAUGAUCUGGCUGGAAAUAUCAAGCAAUACUUAGUUCAACAGGGAUGAGGUAGAAUGGACAGAAAUUUAUUAGUCAGGCACAUCAACUAUGGAAGAGCUAUUAGCAGCUAUCUUAGUGUAUAGUAAUCAUCCUGACUCUAAGCAUAGAAUUAGUCAAGUAGCAGUGAAAUAAAUGUAACUCCAACUGAUGCAACAAUGAAAAGAUACCAUGGAACCUUGUGUAGAGUUGGCUUUUUGUGAAUUAGCGUAAGAUGUGUCAAUACCAAAUUGAUGAGGGAAAGCCCAAGAGCACAUUAGAAGAAAUCGGGUCAAGAGCACAGUUAGUGAAUCCUGUGCUGGGAGAGGGAAAGAAAAAGGUCUAAGAGAAAAUGUCUGGAGCAAAAUACAAACAUUUGUGUCUAAUUUUCUCUUACCCGUGAUGACAGGAGCCAGUUUGUGUUGAGAGUGAGUAGGUCUAACAGAACUUGGGCUGGGGAUGAGUGGUAAAAGUUUAGAUAUAUGCCAAAAGAUAAAACAGACCAGAAAUAAGGAGAAGCACCACAGAAGCCAUAUUGAGAGCCCAGUGGUGUUAAAACUAACCAUUUAAUGGAGCCAAUUAGAAAUGUUCUGUGACUGUAGGGCCCCUAAGAUCCAGUGUAGGACCAAAGGAAAGAAAUUAAGCUGAUAAAUUAAUGCAUAUUUUGGCAAUUAGAGAGGUGGAUGCAAUAGGUAAGGGUAUUAUAUAAGCUGAUGAAAGAAUAAGGUUGAAAUGAGUGAGAGGUACAUGUUGGAUUAUAGGAUUGAAAGUCAAAAUAAGAUUUAAUGGGAACUUGCAAAGUUUUCUUUUGAAAUUAUGAAAAAUUUCUUUAGUGUUGAGACAUUUAAAUUCAUUUAGUAAAUAUUUAUUGAGAUCCUAUGUUCUGUGCACUGUGAUAAAUACCAGAAAUACAGUGGAAAAGAAGUCACAUGGUCCCUUAUCUUACAUAGCUUUGUGUUUGAUGAAUGCUACAAGUAAUGCAUGUGUUUGGGGAUGAUGGUAGUAGAAAAGAAGGGUCUAUAAAUGAGCCCUCCAUAUCAAACUUGGGGCAUGUAAAGAGGCUACUGGGGAUAGAGAUGUCUAAGGUGAUCUCCCUAGUAUUGUAUAGACGUUAUUGGUGUGAAAGAGGAAGUGUGAGGAACUUUUUUUUCUUUUUUUAAGGUAAGCAUAGGAAAAACUGCAAAAAUCCACAGUCGAGAGAGCACUUGUAAACAGGGACCUGAAAGGGAAUCAUUCUGACUCUAAGCAGAAUGAUUAGAUAAGUAGAAUCUAAGCCACUAAAGAGUGUUGUAAGUCAUUUUAAGAGUUUAAUGCUUUUUACUGAGAGCAAUGGGAAGCUCUUUUAGGACUUUAGUAGUACAGUGAUGUGAUCAGAUUUGCAUUUUAGAAAAGUGAGUCUGGUUGCACUAUGGAAAAAUAUCCAGACAGGGAGACUGGGUAUGUAUUGAGAGGUCAGAUACAACAUGAUAGUUAACCCAAGUAGGGGAAUUAUGGUGGGACAAGAGAUGUGGACGGACAGAGCUUAGAGGAGUGAGGCAGAGCAAAGAAUAUUAAGUAUUUACUGUGUGCCAGAUGCUAAGCUACAUGCUGGGACUACCAUGUUAAACAAGACAGAAAGGGUCAUAUCUGCUUACACUGUAGUAGAAAACAGCACAUUAUGUAGGUAUAGGUCAACUGGAAGUUCUCAGCAAGUUAGGCAGAGGACUGUGGAUACUAAUGAACUUAGUAUAGGGAGUACAUGGAAGAAGUGAUGCUUAAGCUGAGACCUGAAAUAAGGGUAGAGGUGGAUUAAGUGAAGAAGGG